rnacentral:lncRNA from 1 species
AGAGGCUGCCAAGAGAUGUGCUUGAGUAGGAGGUGACUGCCCUGCCAACCGCCAGCCUUGGAUAUCACGCUCUCAAAAGGAAUAUGACAAAUCUGAAGAUAUACCUGAGGAGGUAGCUACAGCUGAACCAGUAUAAAGAGGUGUGUGCUCCCAUGGAUGAUUCAAGCCUGCCCAGCAGCGUUGAUGUAGACAAAGGCUUUGCCAUUGCCUUUGUUGUUCUUCUGUUUCUGUUCCUAAUAGUGAUGAUUUUUCGGUGUGCCAAGUUGGUGAAGAAUCCCUACGAGGCCAGCUCCACAACCACAGAACCAUCUCUGAGCUGAACUAUGAAAAAGCCUGGUGGACGCCCCCUCACAGGAGAUUUGAAAUCUUUUAUACAGACGUUUAUGAUUCAGACUUUAUAUUAUUUUACCUCCCUGUUUUUCAGCUUUCUCGCGCUUGCAUUCCACAAUAGGCACGUGAGGGUGAGUUGGGAAUAAUAAAAAGGGUGAAACACAAGCCAGUUUGUACCGUUCCUGUUCGGGGAAAUGAUUACCAUAGUCAGACAGAGACAGGUUGAAUUCAUUGAUUAAAAUAAGGCCAUGGAUAUCAAUUUUCCAGUAUCUAAUGUCCUUAAGACAGUUGGCCAUAAUUUUAUGAUGUCAUAUAAUAUCAUGAUGCUUGGUAAGGUAAACCUAAAACUAGAAUAACUCUUAGAGGUGAUUCUAGGAGGUCCCUUUAGUUAUGCAAAUAUAAGGCCAGCAGGAACCAAUUGUCCUACGAUAAGAGUCUAACAGGACAUUUUAGUGUGGGAGGUUUUAUAAAAUCUGCUGCCCUUCUCAAGCGGGCAGAGCUCUGUGGUAGAGGGAGACUAAUUUGCCUUGGGUCAAUCCCUUAAUCUCUCUCAGCCCAAACUUCCUUAUCUAUAAAAUAACAUCUGGAGGGUCUAAAAGGGGCCCUGAAAAAGACAUGUCAAUGUCCUCACCCCUGAAACCUAUGAAUGUGGCCUUAUUUGGGAAAAAAAAUCUUUGCAGAUGUAAUUAAGUUACAAAUCUCAAGAUAACCUCAUCCUGGAUUAUCCAAGUGAGCCCUAAAUCCAAUGACAAAGUGUCUUUACAAAAGACAGAAGAGGAGAAGACACAGGGAGACAGGGAAAAGGCCACGUGGAGAUGGAGGCAGAGAUUGGAGUCAUGUGACCAUAAGCUAAAGAACACUUGCCUGGAACCACCAGAAGCUGGAAGAGGCAAGGAAGAAUUCUCCCCAGAGUCUUUGGAGGGAGUACAGCCCUGCCAACACCUUCAUUUUGGACUUCUAACCUCCAGAACUGUGAGAGAAUCAAUUUCUGUUGUUUUAAGCCACCUAAUUUGUGGUAAUUUUGUAUGGCAGUCAUGAGAAACUAAUACAUAACACACGAUGAUGAUGAUGAUGAUGAUGAUGAU